rnacentral:lncRNA from 1 species
AUGCCACCCAUUCUGGAGCCAGGGACAUGGAGGCGUGGCUCAGCCAGACCAGCCAGGCACCCGGCCCUAGUGCUGGUUUUAGCUUUGUCCAGAUGGCAGCCUAGGUGCUGCAGGGAAGGGGGCGGCCCGCAGCUGCCCGGCACCAGCGCACCAUCUCAUAGAGCCGAGGCCCCCUCCUGCAAGCGGAGCUGGAUGCCCACCCCCCCGGAGCAGUGUCAGCUCUCUUCCCUCUCAAAGCCCCCAGUCCUGUUUGAGUGUCCACAGGGUUACCAUUUUUACUUUGUUUCUAUCUUGUUUCUUUCUGCUGUGAUUCUAUAUAUUUCAGAUCUGCUUUGGAAAUAUAUAUUAUGUCACAGGGGGCAAAUAAAGUUUGUAUUUUUCCCCCUAGUAAGGGAUUCUUGGUGUGGUCCCCAGGCCUCAUUCUGGUCUCUCAGCUGCCUCGAGCCAGCCUUUCCUACAGCUGAGCAGGCCCCUAAGACACACAAGCUCAGGUUACACCAAGCUGGUGCAGGGAGGACCCCAGGCGGCCCUUUCGCCAACUCAGACCUGAGCACAAACCUGCAGGGCUCAGGAGCCACACAGGGCAGAGCCCACCCUCCUGGUCAGACAGGCCCGCUCUGCCCUACAGAAUGGCCAGACUCCAUCUCCAGCAUCCAGAAACUCUCACUCCUGGCAGUUCAAGUGCCCUCUCACUAGUGGACCAGCAACCCCAGGACACAUUAAAGAUAAUGCUCGUCCCAAGCCCUGAGAACACAGUCCCCAGCUCAGAAGAGCCUUAUUCAUUAAAGUCGGUACCAAAAACAACAGAAUGUUUCAGAUUAUAAAAAGAGUUUUUGUUUGGGUUCAGAUAUACGUGGAAGGCACAGCCUCCUUGUCCCCGCUCUCAGAAGCAGCCCAGUUAUUCAGGAGGGAGCCCCCGGCUGGCCUGCAUAGGCAUCAUUUUCCCGAUGAGUACAGCGUUAAGUCCUUUCCAACUUAGGAGUCAAGAUGCGCUGGCAGGUUUCUUCAACUGGAUCGUAGCUGGGAGUCAACUCAAUUAGAAAAGUUUCUUUAACAAAGCAGUCUGGAAAGAAUCGCUCCAACACGGCUAUUCUGAGCACGCCUCCGCAGAUCCUCCGCCUUGCUCCCGGUUCUCAGCUCGGCGCACGCGUCUGCAGGCCGACGGCGCGGGUCCUUGUGGCGGCAGCUGCGGGUCGGUCCUUGGCGUCCGUCGUUGUUCGGGUCUCUGGCUCAGAGGGGCGCAGCGGCACCCCUCCGGCGGGCGGCCCGCACCAAGCACUGCUGGAGAACGGGGUAGAGGCGCUGGCAGCCCUCGAGCCCCAGGCGCACGGCCUCCGCCCAGCUCUCGGUCGGGCCGCCCUCCCCGCUGCCCAGCAGCCCAGCCACCUGGUUGAGCACCGGCAUGAGCGCCACGGUGAGGCCGGCGGCGGCGCGCUCCUCCUCCAGCAGCGUGGGGUCCAGCAGCCAGGCGGGCGCGGGCGCCGGCGCGCGGCUCAGGCCGCAGCCCACCACCAGGUCGUACAUCUCGACGCCCGCGUCGGCCAGGGCGAGCGCGGCGG